rnacentral:lncRNA from 13 species
GUGAAGAGUUCACAGCCUUCAAGGAAACAAGAAAUCAUGAGAUGGAGUGAAGGAAGGUGGCCUGGAACCAGCUGCUGAGCCUCUCUGAGCCCCAGUUUCCUCAUCUCUAAAAUGGGCCUGAUCUCCUCUCCCUCAGACGGUUGUUGCAGAAAUUAAAUGAGAGAGAGGAAGCCCCGGCUCAGCAGAAUGGAGUCACUUGCCCAGGGACAUCCAACUGAGCUGAUACUCUUUGUCUUCCCUAUGCUGCUUCUCUCUGGGUUUGGUAAAAGUUUUUAUCUUUACAAAAAACAGCUUGGACUUCUAUUCUGGGGUGAAUUUGGGUAA